rnacentral:misc_RNA from 1 species
ACCGUUAGCGAAGGGGAGUAGCCCCAAAUCGUCGUGUCGACAUACUGGCGAACAGCCCGGCCGGCGAACCGAUCCCGGCAGAUCGGUGGGCGAGACCUUCGACCGGUGU